AACGAACGCUGGCGGCAUGCCUAACACAUGCAAGUCGAACGAGACCUUCGGGUCUAGUGGCGCACGGGUGCGUAACGCGUGGGAACCUGCACUUAGGUUCGGAAUAACUCCCCGAAAGGAGUGCUAAUACCGGAUAAUGUCUUCGGACCAAAGACUUAUCGCCCUUGGAUGGGCCGGCGUUGGAUUAGCUAGUUGGUAGGGUAAAAGCCUACCAAGGCGCCGAUCCAUAGCUGGUCUGAGAGACUGAUCAGCCACACUGAGACUGAGACACGGCCCAGACUCCUACGGGAGGCGGCAGUGGGGAAUAUUGGACAAUGGGCGAAAGCCUGAUCCAGCAAUGCCGCGUGAGUGAUGAAGGCCUUAGGGUUGUAAAGCGCUUUUACCCGGGAUGAUAAUGACAGUACCGGGAGAAUAAGCUCCGGCUAACUCCGUG
rnacentral:rRNA from 1 species